ensembl:rRNA 5S_rRNA 5S ribosomal RNA
AGCAGCAGCCAUGUCACCCUGCAACUCACAACUGGUAACCCACUGAAGCUAAGCAGGUGUGAGUCUGGCCAGUACCUGGAUGGGAGACCUCUUGGGGGAAAACUAAGGUUGCUGCUG